rnacentral:rRNA from 1 species
AGCUCCAUUAGCGUAUAUUAAAGUUGUUGCAGUUAAAAAGCUCGUAGUUGGAUUUCGGUGUGGGCCCGUCGGUCGGCCGCGAGGCCUGUUACUGACUGGUCCGCUCUUCCUCCCAGAGACUGCGUGUGCCCUUCGCUGGGUGUGCGUACCGGAUUUGGGACGUUUACUUUGAAAAAAUUAGAGUGUUCAAGGCAAGCUUUGAGGCUUGAAUACAUGAGCAUGGAAUAAUGGAACAGGACCUCGGUCCCUGUUUCGUUGGUUUCGCGGACCGAAGUAAUGAUUAAGAGGGACAAUUGGGGGCAUCCGUAUUUCGUAGUCAGAGGUGAAAUUCUUGGACCUGCGAAAGACGAACAACUGCGAAAGCAUUUGCCAAGAGUGUUUUCAUUAAUCAAGAACGAAA